rnacentral:rRNA from 2 species
CAUGCCGUAAACGAUGAGUGCUAGGUGUUGGAGGGUUUCCGCCCUUCAGUGCCGGAGCUAACGCAUUAAGCACUCCGCCUGGGGAGUACGACCGCAAGGUUGAAACUCAAAGGAAUUGACGGGGGCCCGCACAAGCGGUGGAGCAUGUGGUUUAAUUCGAAGCUACGCGAAGAACCUUACCAGGUCUUGACAUCUUGCGCUAACCUUAGAGAUAAGGCGUUCCCUUCGGGGACGCAAUGACAGGUGG